GUCCCUUUUUCUGUACUUUGCUUUUGAAUGGUCUCACUUGCAUUAGUUUUCACAAUUUCCUUGCAUAACACUUCAGUUUGCAUUUCUUCUGCUAACACCUUAUCUGCUAGAAUUUCUUCACCUUCACCCUUUAUCUGUUGUUCUUGGUGGAUCUCUCUAGUUGCUUCUUCACUUGAGAAAUUGUCAACAGCACCUUGGAGAAGGUUCUUUAUUGUUCCUUUUUC
rnacentral:misc_RNA from 1 species